UUUAACCAAACCUGUUGUGAUUCAGGAGUGUUUCAUCUGUGUGGUUUUCUGCAGAGUCCAGACUGUCGCCUGGAGACUCUCAGAUUGUGGAGCUGUGGUUUGUCAGAGAAGAUCUGCUCCUCUUUGGCCUCAGCUCUGAAGUCCAACCCCUCACACCUCAGAGAACUGGAGCUGGUUGGUAACAGACUGAGAGAAUCAGAUGUGAAGAAGCUCCUGGACCUUGAACAGAGUCCUGACUGUCGUCUGGAGACUCUGAGGUGAGUUGUGAUUUUAUGGUUUUGUUUUGAGCCUGGAACAGUUGGCACAUGUUUCCUUCUGUUCUAAAACUGACACAUGGUUUGGUUAAUUUACGUCUGAACCACAGAGCGGCAGAGUGCCCUGCACCAGGCUCGUUUCACUCACGUGCCUCCAAACUUUUUCACGUUUUAUUUUUCGAGGCUCGUGCAGUGAAGCGGUCUUCAGUCAAAAACAAAAAUGUGUUUUUCUUGACCUAAUCAGCCCACAGAGAGCGAGGAGACAAACAUAUCCAGUCAGACUUUGCUUGGACAGACCUGUUCUCUGCUGUAAUCGAGAGGGAUCUGGCUGCAGACCUUCACCCAGAGGACCCUCACGUGACUCACCUCCUUCCACACGUCCCUAACAGUAACAAACAGCAGCCAAAAGAGAGACACACUUUCCUGUUUUCAACGGAACCUUACAAAAGUUUACAUUGAUUUACACUAAAAACCAUCCACUGUUUAUAGAAAUGGACGUAGCUAACGUGCGAGCCGCCGCGUUCCAAACAGGAAGUUCACAUGCGGCUCUUCCGGCUCCUUCUGACUCUGGCUCCCAGUGAUUUACAUUGGAAUAUUGUGGCUCCUCUCUCUGUAGCUGCUGCUGUGGCCUCGUCAUUUCAGUCUUAAAAUGUUGGUGUAGGAGAAAUGGCUCCAUGUAGAAUUGUAUCAGGUGUGUGUGCGUCUAAUGGUUUAACAUGAACAAAUUAUACUGAAUUAUACUGAAUUAUACUGAAUUAUACAUGUGUGGGGCACCAGAUUCUGACUGAAUCAAAACUUAACCAUAGUGAUCACAACAACUUAUCAGUUUUAUCGAUCUGAAGGAAAAGUUCCCGAAAAAGUGACCUGAUGAUAACUUGAAGAAAAAUCACUGAAACCAUCAAAUUCCUUUGUUUGUUUUAUCAGCAAAAUAACAACGAGACACUCAACUUUCAAGUUCUGAUGACGUGAUGAACAAUAAAGCACCGAUUUUAACAACAUGAGGCAGUUAUAAAAACAGGGUUCAGUUUAGUUCAGUUUUGGUUUUACGUGUAAUUGGACACAGUUGUAGGAUGGACGCCAACCACUGCACAUUCACUGUUCAAACCAGCUCUUACUUGAAAGUGUUUUCUCCGUUAGACAGUUGGUCAGGUUCUCACAGAGAUCACGACCACGGGUCUGUAUGAAUCGCGGCGGCAGCUGGUUCGUUGUGGUCACACGCACAGGCAGGACAGCGGCGCAGCGGUUGUGGGCUCGGACAGAGCGGUCCACACCUCCUUCACCGGGGUCCGGGUCUCCAGGUCCCUCACUAUAACACGCUUCACCUUUCGUGGUCUCGCUGUUUCACAGAAUUUUUUUGUGCAAUUUUGCAUGUUUUUUUUUUUUUUUUUUUUACAGUGUAUGAAGGUGCAUUGUGCUCCUCCCCCUGCGUCCUGAUUGGCUGAGGGACUGUAGACCGUUGUCAAUCAAUCUCCUCCGUGCCGUGUCUCCUGUACAGUACAGAAUGUGUUCAGACAAAUGGACAUAAAUGUUGGAUCUGUAUCAGUGUGAUUCUGAAGUGCUGGAUGUUUGCAAGUUUUCUCCUCCACAAAACCCACAAUGUCGAUGAAAUGUUCUGCACCGACAAAGUCUCCUGCGCUCGCUCCCAAAAGACAGAGGAAGAUGUAAACAUCACACAAAAAGUUGGACUUCUGGACACGCUGAAGGAAGGAGAAGUUACACGGCUGUAGGCGUCAUUACGGAAUAAAUGAAUCUUCGGUUUGUUACAUAAAGAAGGAGGAAA